UACGGAGGGGGCUAGCGUUGUUCGGAAUUACUGGGCGUAAAGCGCGCGUAGGCGGCUUUGUAAGUUAGAGGUGAAAGCCCGGAGCUCAACUCCGGAAUUGCCUUUAAGACUGCAUCGCUAGAAUCAUGGAGAGGUGAGUGGAAUUCCGAGUGUAGAGGUGAAAUUCGUAGAUAUUCGGAAGAACACCAGUGGCGAAGGCGGCUCACUGGACUGGUAUUGACGCUGAGGUGCGAAAGCGUGGGGAGCAAACAGG
rnacentral:rRNA from 1 species